rnacentral:rRNA from 1 species
GCUAUCAAUAAGCGGAGGAAAAGAAACCAACAGGGAUUGCCUUAGUAACGGCGAAGUGAAGCGGCAACAGCUCAAAUUUGAAAUCUGGCCCCCAGGCCCGAGUUGUAAUUUGUAGAGGAUGCUUCUGGCGACGCGACUUCCGAGUUCCCUGGAACGGGACGCCAAAGAGGGUGAGAGCCCCGUCCGGUCGUUCGCCUAGCCUAUGUGAAGCUCCUUCGACGAGUCGAGUAGUUUGGGAAUGCUGCUCUAAAUGGGAGGUAUACGUCUUCUAAAGCUAAAUAUUGGCCAGAGACCGAUAGCGCACAAGUAGAGUGAUCGAAAGAUGAAAAGCACUUUGAAAAGAGGGUUAAAUAGUACGUGAAAUUGCUGAAAGGGAAGCGCUUAUGACCAGACUUGGGCUAGGUGAAUCAUCCGGCGUUCUCGCCGGUGCACUUUGCCUGUCCAGGCCAGCAUCAGUUCGCUUCGGGGGAUAAAGGCUUCGGGAAUGUAGCUCCUCCGGGAGUGUUAUAGACCGUUGUGUAAUACCCUGGGGUGGACUGAGGUACGCGUUCUGCAAGGAUGCUGGCGUAAUGGUCAUCAGUGACCCGUCUUGAAACACGGACCAAGGAGUCGUCUUCGUAUGCGAGUGUUCGGGUGUCAAACCCCUACGCGUAAUGAAAGUGAACGUAGGAGAGAGCUUCGGCGCAUCUCCGACCGAUCCUGAUGUUCUCGGAUGGAUUUGAGUAAGAGCAUACGGGGCCGGACCCGAAAGAAGGUGAACUAUGCCUGUAUAGGGUGAAGCCAGAGGAAACUCUGGUGGAGGCUCGCAGCGGUUCUGACGUGCAAAUCGAUCGUCAAAUAUGGGCAUGGGGGGCGAAAGACUAAUCGAACCUUCUAGUAGCUGGUUUCGCG